CUUCACCGAGCCGAGCCACAGCGGCCGGUCGUCCGGCCGGUCCUGGCCGUAGGUGGCGAUGAGGGCCUGGGCCUC
rnacentral:antisense_RNA from 3 species